rnacentral:rRNA from 1 species
GACGAACGCUGGCGGCGUGCUUAACACAUGCAAGUCGAACGGUAAGGCCCUUCGGGGUACACGAGUGGCGAACGGGUGAGUAACACGUGGGUGAUCUGCCCUGCACUUCGGGAUAAGCCUGGGAAACUGGGUCUGAUACCGGAUAGGACCACUGCCUGCAUGGGUGGUGGUGGAAAGAUUUUGCGGUGUGGGAUGGGCCCGCGGCCUAUCAGCUUGUUGGUGGGGUGAUGGCCUACCAAGGCGACGACGGGUAGCCGGCCUGAGAGGGUGACCGGCCACACUGGGACUGAGAUACGGCCCAGACUCCUACGGGAGGCAGCAGUGGGGAAUAUUGCACAAUGGGCGCAAGCCUGAUGCAGCGACGCCGCGUGAGGGAAGACGGCCUUCGGGUUGUAAACCUCUUUCAGCACCGACGAAGCGCAAGUGACGGUAGGUGCAGAAGAAGGACCGGCCAACUACGUGCCAGCAGCCGCCGUAA